AGCAGCCGCUAGCAGGCCGGCCCAUUUCCCCAGCCCAUCCCGCAGCUCUCUCCCUUUCCGUUUUCUUUUCUUUCCCUGUCUCACUGACGAGCCUGGCCCGUCUGUCAUCUCCCUCCUGGAGACGUGUUCGUCCUGAACACAGGAGCACCGAGCCGAAUCGAAUCGAUGUUUGCGAUCGAUUCUUGACCCCUAGGCCAUGGGAGCUACUCUAUAUAAGAUCCCCAACUCCUCCUCGCACGAUUUUUCACAAAAUCUCCUACUCCCGUGCCCUGGAGCUCCCGAUCGGAUCUCGUCGGAGUUCCACCUCGAGGCGUUUCUGCUGCCGUCGAUUCCAGCAUCACCUGAGGGGGAGUACCGAACCGAGCGCUCCGAGCUCGUCCCGAAGCAGAUCACCGCCGCCCGAGCUCCAGCCACAGUGUAUCGCCACCGGAGGACGCGUUCGUCGCCACCAAGGACGCCAUGGAGUUCUCUGUCCCUCUACGUGUCCAGGUGUAUCUACCCGGAGCCCGGAACGAGUGCACUGUCGAAGUCCGAACCGCUGUGCGCCGUUCUUCUCCGACUCCGGCGACCACCCAGCCUCUGUUUCCGAUUGUCCGGAGUAUCAAGCGGAUCGGAAUUAAUAGUUAGACUACUUCAACAGCGUUCAAGGCAAGUUACACUUUUUGAUUAUGCUCAUCUUAUAUUCUGCUAUGCAUGUGUCGUUUAUGCUAUGAUAUAUAUAUUUGGCCUGAUAUGUGUAUCCCGUGUUGUCAUGUUUUGGUAUUGAUUGUUGUGAUGGUGUGAUCAACUUGCUAUGGUAGACGUGGGCAUCUGUCGAGUGAUCCAUGGAAAUGGUGAGUGUUUAUAGUCAUAGGCUUAGGAUUAUUAACCAGGUGAAUGCGUCACUCGCAGAGCACUCUAUUGUCCCUAGAGAAUGCGCCAUUGACAGAGCGCACUUGAGGCGAGGUAUAGUUUUCGGAACUUAAAUCAGGUGAAUGCGUCCUUGGCAGAGCGCUCUAUUGUUCCUAGAGAAUGCACCAUUGAUAGAGUGCACUUGAGAGAUACUUCUGAAGUUCUUGUCAUGUUUAUUUAGAAUCUUUGGGUUAUCUUGGGCGAGUAAAUUAGGGACGGUUGUGUGUUCAGGUAGUGGAGGUAGGUGAAGACAUUCUUCUCCAAAUUAACUUGAGUGUUUUGUUUGUCAUACUUUACUUGUGGAUGUAGGUUUGCUAUAUCAUACUAUGUGAUUUGCCAAUACAUUCAAUGUAUUGACCCUUUGUGGUUGCAACUUAUCAUGUUGCAUGAUUUUUAUAUGAUCAGUGAGAUACAAUAGGGUCGCGAGUCUUCACUCAACAUGUUCUGCAGUGGGCAUUGAUGGACUCAUCAUUUAUUAUGCUACCAUUCCGCUGUUAUUAUUGAAUAAGUUAGCCAUGUGCUAUUCAGUUUGUAAUACUUUAUAAAUUCUGGAUCAUACGUUGUAGUAAAUGAUGCACUCUUGUUAUUUGAUAUUCAUAUGUACUGUGUGUGCUAGCGAGUCGAUCCAGGGACUAGCACAGCGAGCACAAAGACAUCCGAAUCUAGUUAUUGUAAUAAAGUUUCUUCUAGUUGGACUAACGAGCCUCCAGAUUGUCUAGUGAGCAAACUUGUAGAUGAUGUAUCUCUACUGAUUAAUCAAUAAAGCUAGCCAUGAUAGCCUAACCUAAAAAAAUCACAGACAUGUAUACCGAUGCGGACACUCUUUUUCGGUGAAAA